ensembl:snoRNA SNORD115 Small nucleolar RNA SNORD115
GGCAUGAUGAAUAGAAUGCAUAUAGUCCUGAAGAGAGAUGAUGACCCAAAAGUCAUGCUCAGUACAAUUACACUGAGGCCC